rnacentral:rRNA from 1 species
AUUGAACGCUGGCGGCAUGCUUUACACAUGCAAGUCGAACGGUAACAGGCCGCAAGGUGCUGACGAGUGGCGAACGGGUGAGUAAUGCAUCGGAACGUGCCCAGUCGUGGGGGAUAACGCAGCGAAAGCUGCGCUAAUACCGCAUACGAUCUAUGGAUGAAAGCGGGGGACCGUAAGGCCUCGCGCGAUUGGAGCGGCCGAUGUCAGAUUAGGUAGUUGGUGGGGUAAAGGCCUACCAAGCCAACGAUCUGUAGCUGGUCUGAGAGGACGACCGGCCACACUGGGACUGAGACACGGCCCAGACUCCUACGGGAGGCAGCUGUGGGGAAUUUUGGACAAUGGGCGAAAGCCUGAUCCAGCAAUGCCGCGUGCAGGAAGAAGGCCUUCGGGUUGUAAACUGCUUUUGUACGGAGCGAAAAGGCCCUUUCUAAUACAAGGGGCUCAUGACGGUACCGUAAGAAUAAGCACCGGCUAACUACGUGCCAGCCGCCGCGGUAAUAC